rnacentral:rRNA from 1 species
UUUCCUACGGGAGGCAGCAGUGAGGAAUAUUGGUCAAUGGCCGGAAGGCUGAACCAGCCAAGCCGCGUGAAGGACGAAGGUGCCAAGCAUUGUAAACUUCUUUUGUCAAGGGACAAAAUCAGGCUCGAGAGCCUGACCGAGGGUACUUGAAGAAAAAGCAUCGGCUAACUCCGUGCCAGCAGCCGCGGUAAUACGGAGGAUGCGAGCGUUAUCCGGAUUUACUGGGUGUAAAGGGAGCGCAGGCGGUUCUGCAAGUCUGAUGUGAAAGCCCGGGGCUCCACCGCGGGACCGCAUUGGAAACUGCG